rnacentral:rRNA from 1 species
GCAUCCGCCGCGGUAAUACAGAGGGUGCAAGCGUUAAUCGGAAUUACUGGGCGUAAAGCGCGCGUAGGUGGUUCGCCAAGUUGGAUGUGAAAUCCCCGGGCUCAACCUGGGAACUGCAUCCAAAACUGGCGAGCUAGAGUAUGGUAGAGGGUGGUGGAAUUUCCUGUGUAGCGGUGAAAUGCGUAGAUAUAGGAAGGAACAUCAGUGGCGAAGGCGACCACCUGGACUGAUACUGACACUGAGGUGCGAAAGCGUGGGGAGCAAACAGGAUUAGAGACCCCAGUAGUCCCUGUCUCUUAUAC